UGCUGCGAUCUGAUGUAGCAGUGGCUAAGGAAACAAUUAUUUCAACUGAUCCAAAGAGCACGCUAGGAGAUGUGCCUCUUGGAAAUCAGUAUUGUGAAGUGGUUUUGAAUGUUGUGCUGAAAAGGAAUACAGUUUUGCCUCGUCCUUAUGGUUUUGUGGAGACCAUGGCUGAUGCACAUAGGAUGUCAAUUGCAUGGCCAUACAAAAGAUUGAAGGUAACCAAAGGAUCACAAUCUACCCAAGGUACAACAGUUAACUUUCAGCACACUUUUAACUUGUUCAGAUGGGAGGUCUUAGAGGUGGCAUGAUGGUUGAUCAUGUAAGCAACAAGCAGAUCAACGCUCAUGGACACUUAUUUUGGGUAGUGCUUAUGGGCACUUUUAUUUUGGGUAGUGCUUAUUUGGAAUAUCUAGGCUGGCUUCUGGCUUCUCUUAUUUUGUAAAUGUUGGCAUGUGGCUGCUGCUUGUACCGUGGUCUGUGACAAUCCCAAUAUAUGAUCUAGCUAGCUUGACUUGAGCACUGUGACAUCACCAAUGAUGUCUAUGAUCGAAGCUUUGGCAACCAAUUAUGUAUUGUUUCAUAUAUGUUGGAUUCAUAUGAAGACUAUGAGCUCUAGUUUAGUCAA